AAAGCAACAGAUUGUCGCUAAGGUUGUCGUUCAGGAACUACAUCACGCUGGCGGGCAUCUUUCCUAAUACUGACGUCACGCUGGCAAACGAUGAUUAACGGUAAAAGCACUCUCGUCCCAGGCACAUCUCCCAGCGACUCAACGACUCUGUCAGACUCAAAGCAUGUAUUCAAUCUUCGGCGUUUGUCCGUGUUUGUACUGCUGUGGCUCUGAUCUUGUGUUAGCCUCCCCCCUGCACGUGAGCAACAAGCUCAAGCAGUCCUGUAGGACAGCCACGGUCUCACCGCCAACUCAAGCUGGUUGCGUUGCUGACUUACAGGAUUGGCAGGCCCUCUGUCAAACUUGUACCAAAUGGUACGGCAUGACCUAUAACAUCAGCACGUGUCUAUCACGUCCAUGCACACCCUUGACAUCAAAUUAGCCUCACACGUUAUUCUUAUAAUAUUGGAGCAUUUGAUACAGUUACGUAAGUGAUUGCCACCGUUUUUCCAUGUUAAAUUGCGUCGGCUGCAUCCACGCACAUCCAUGGAGUAUGGCUACACGUACAGCUCUCAAAGGCCGGCUGAUACCACACAUUACACGUAGGCGUACUUUACAGCUUUAGUAAGCUCUCCUCUGUCAAGACAUUGUGAAGUCUUCACGUUCGUCUGUACAUGCCCACGACCACUUGUUCCAAAUGCUGCGCUGCCUGUACCAAGUCUGUCCCAACUCAAGAACCCAUUUUUCUUGGUAUAUAUUCCUUAAAGAUGUACAGGGCCUUUUGGUUUCUCCGCUUCAUGCGCCGACAACGAAGAUUCGAGAAACAUUUAGACGAAGGUCUGCAAACAUGAUUACUUAGGUUGCCCAGUGACGGGCAGGACAAUCCCGUGGGUCAUUGACAGAUAAUUUAUAAGUGCAAGCAAAUUCAUCUGCCGUUACCCAAUUGCUUAAGGUUUGGGUCGGCUAGAAUUCGCGAAGCUGCAUCGAACCUGCAGUCUGUGGGUUGUGACUACUAGGGACUACUUUCGCGUUGACGGACAAUUACCUUUGCAGAACUUGGCAGGCAAUAACAGCAGGGUAACUGUAUUUAUCUUGCUCUCGUGGGAUGCGUGGGCUCGGGGAAGUGCAUUCAUCUUCGACCCUUCUCCAACGUUUAGCAUUACCCUGGACAAAAUAUGCCGCAGUUUUUGAAUGUUUGCUUGAAGUGGGACUAUCCACCUCAAGCAUUAAGAAGCGACAGUAGCGAACACCUUUUCAGGAGCACAACGACGGUUGUGGUUCCAUCACAUUCCCAGUUUUGGUAAUAUUGGCAGCACCGUGCCCUUGGUAAAUGGCCGGUGUUUCGUACCGCCAACCGCCAGGGAACUCCUACCUGGAAGAUGAAAACGUCAUGUACAUCUCCUGAAUAUUGUACAUGGUCAACGAAAAUUGGGUUACGCCUCUUCCUCAGGCCGGCCGCCGCACCGGCGCGUUACGAAUCGUUGAAGCGCGGCGAGAAGGGGCAAGAUGACCCCCAUGUUAGGCAGGUGUGCCCCUAGGCGGUUGUGUUUUCCACCCAGGCGGGAAGGGUGCAAGGCUCAAAGCAACAGAGCGCAUAGCAUGCGAUACAAUCCAAGCCUGGCGUGACGAAAGCCAUCGAAACGGCAGUGGAGCAGGGAGUGUGUCACCCUUUCGCCAUUGAUUCAUCACUGUCUUUUGUUCAAGAUCGCCUGCCCUCCUUUUUAAUAGGCACUUAGGGGACGUCCUCCAGUUCGUCAGAUAGGGCACUCUGUGCAGACGGGCAUCGGCCUAGGAAUGCAAUGUGGGCAAGGUUGGUCAGGAACACUUAAGCUCUGCGGUACGCCCAGUCAGAACCUGAUUAGUCACACUCAUCUGCGUUUUCUCCUCCAUAAACGUGUUUGCGACCUAGGACUGCGUCGUGCUGUUGCCCAACGUGACGGGUUUCAUAGGGACACCGAAGAUGUGCGCCACGUCACCAUGCUUUCGCAUUUUUUGGCUGUAAUCCGUAUCAUGUCCUUUAAAAAUGCGUCCCGCCGUCCGAAAGUCCACCUGUGUUGUGUCCCGCCGCGAACUCCGUGUUGCUAAAUCGGUGCGGUGCCUAGCAUCAGGCGCUUUCCUUCCCUGCCGCGCCCUUACGACACUCUCCAUCCUGCCUGCACAUGCUGCGAUGCCCUAGCCGGUGCCAACACCAUAACCUGCGUAGAGUCGGCCGGCACUGGCACAGCACAAUGUCCAGGUUGCAGCUAUCUGCAAACCUGCCACUCCUAAAAAGAUAAUAUUUAUGAACUGAACGGUGUUCCAGUGGUCAUCCUGAUAUCCCUGCGUAUAUACCAUCAACAGCCAGUGGCACAAAGAUGGCGUUCCCAGCUGUGCAUAUUGUUGAGGAACACAUCAAAUAUCCUUCUAUUUAUGAAGGGGACGCAUCCCUUGCUGUCCUGGGCUUACGUUUGGUGGUUUGGGUAAAUGUUCACGUUCACUACUGACGUCGUACAAUGAACCUUUGUGCUCAGUUAUACUCAAACAGUUACCGUGAGCUGCCCAAUC
rnacentral:lncRNA from 1 species